rnacentral:rRNA from 1 species
GACGAACGCUGGCGGCGUGCUUAACACAUGCAAGUCGAACGAUGAAGCUGGAGCUUGCUCCGGUGGAUUAGUGGCGAACGGGUGAGUAACACGUGAGUAAUCUGCCCUUGACUCUGGGAUAACUGCGGGAAACUGUAGCUAAUACCGGAUACGACACCUUCGGGCAUUCGAUGGGUGUGGAAAGAAUUUCGGUCAAGGAUGAACUCGCGGCCUAUCAGCUAGUUGGUGAGGUAAUGGCUCACCAAGGCGACGACGGGUAGCCGGCCUGAAAGGGUGACCGGCCACACUGGGACUGAGACACGGCCCAGAAUCCUACGGGAGGCAGCAGUGGGGAAUAUUGCACAAUGGGCGAAAGCCUGAUGCAGCAACGCCGCGUGAGGGAUGAAGGCCUUCGGGUUGUAAACCUCUUUUAGUUGGGAAGAAGCGAAAGUGACGGUACCAACAGAAAAAGCACCGGCUAACUACGUGCCAGCCGCCGCGGUAA